rnacentral:rRNA from 1 species
UACGUAGGGGCUAGCGUUAUCCGGAAUUACUGGGCGUAAAGGGUGCGUAGGUGGUUUCUUAAGUCAGAGGUGAAAGGCUACGGCUCAACCGUAGUAAGCCUUUGAAACUGGGAAACUUGAGUGCAGGAGAGGAGAGUGGAAUUCCUAGUGUAGCGGUGAAAUGCGUAGAUAUUAGGAGGAACACCAGUAGCGAAGGCGGCUCUCUGGACUGUAACUGACGCUGAGGCACGAAAGCGUGGGGAGCAAACAGGAUUAGAUACCCGCGUAGUCCCUGAG